GGCCAAAUGAGAAAAUACAAUAAAUAAACAGCAACAGAUGGAGAAUAUCGAAAUAUCAUGCCAGCAGGCAGCAGCAACAAAUUUGAAAUUCUUCCAAAUCUCAUUACACCAAAUGGACAUACAAGAACCAUUGUCUUUGCCAACACCAGGCAGAGAACAAUGUCCUAAAAAUAGAGACAGAAGGCAUGGCAAGUUGGCAAAAAAUAAAAUGGUACAAAAUUUGUCAGCUAUAACAAUGUUGCACUCCAUCAACAAAGUUCCCAAAAAUUAUUGAAGUGCUACUCACAAGCAGAAUGGCAGAAUCAAUUGCCAGUGUAUACAUCUUUUUAUCAACUGUAUACAUUAUAGAAGAAACGCCUAAAAAAACCAUUAUUCAGCACAAAAAAAAUGGAUAUAAAAUCUCCCAAGAACAAAAGGGGGGCUACAAAAUCACAAGAAAUUUAAUUUCCAACAACUACACUCCCAAAAAUUGUAUCAUACAACUAAAACAAUUAAAAAAAAAAAUUGUAUUCAUAAAAAAAUUAAAAAUAAUUUGUAGUACUUGGGUUAUAGUAUAUAUGCCUACCUAUAUAAAAGAACUUAUGGCAGUAGAAAACUAUAUACGACAUGGAACAAAAAGCUAGUAUGCACAGAAAGCCAAAAAAUUAUUCAGUAAAAAUAAAAAUGAUUGCAGUUUUUCAAAGAAACCAGGGAAAAAAAAAGAAGAAGAACAA
rnacentral:misc_RNA from 1 species